rnacentral:ribozyme from 1 species
CGUCUGUCCCUACUUCGGGGGUGCCAAACCCCAAGCACAAGCUGCCAUCCAUAUGUGAUGGAAUGGGUGAUCCCUCAGCUACCGAGGUAGGAGAAGAAUCCCAGGGAAACACCGUAGCCUGGCUAUUACGGCCAGUGGGUGCUACGGGCACAUUAACUGGG